UACCCAUCAAUGGAAACCCUCUCGACCUCCAUCAUCUCUUCCCCACUCGCCGCUGCCUCCCACCCCGGCUCCCCCCUCAGAGUCGCCACCUUUCGCCGCUUUCUUCCCCAAAUCCAGCAAACAUCGAGCCGCCGGAACCGGUUCCGGGCCCUCAUCCCGGAUGCCUCCGGCAGUGGGGAGGGGAAACCUAGGGUUCCGGACAACGGGUCUGGUUCGAUUCGGGAUGAGGGUUCAAGCUGGUUCGAGAGUAAUCGUAG
rnacentral:misc_RNA from 1 species